UACGAAGGUGGCGAGCGUUGUUCGGAAUCACUGGGCAUAAAGCGCACGUAGGCGGCGACGUAAGUUGGGUGUGAAAUCCCUCGGCCCAACCGAGGAACUGCGCCCAGUACUGCGUUGCUUGAGGAUCCAAGGGGUGCAUGGAAUUCCCGGUGGAGCGGUGAAAUGCGCAGAUAUCAGGAGGAACACCGGUGGCGAAGGCGGGUCUCUGGGCCGAAACUGACGCUGAGGAGCGAAAGCGUGGGGAGCGAACAGG
rnacentral:rRNA from 1 species